UCCCAGAUUUCUUUCUAUCUCUCCUCCCUCAACUUCCCAGAGAGUAGAAACUUGUUCCAGAACAAAAAUUAUAUGAAUUAGACCCAGAAAGAAAACUAGAGUCCACCCAGGUCAGCUCUGUUUUCUAAUCCAGGAGAAGCCUGAGAACCAGAAAGUGGAAGAGACUUACCCAAGGUCACACAGCUAGCACCCUGCAAAUGUGAAGUCAAGUCCAGAUGCCCUAAUCACAGCAGCGCUUUUUGAAGGGCCUCCUUAAACUACUUCACACACAACUUCAUAAAAUGCUCCCCAAAGGGUCCCUUUUCCACAGUGUUAUUAGUCAUCUGUCCCUCCCCCCAGGACCACCUCUGACCACCUCACCCUCUGUCCUCCUUCUGGCAGCACAAGCCCUCUGCUCAGUCGUCCCCUCCAGCUCAGCUGCACCUGGACAGGUGUGAGCUCCACCAAUCAGCCUCUUUCCCCUCUUCCCCCCUCCCCAAAGCCUGAGAAGUUUACACUGGCUAUUAAGAAUGUCCUUGACAAGUCAACCUGAACAGGAUAUGCCUGUUACUCCAGGUAGCAGCUACAAGAAGGAAGCUGAGGGUCUGGGGAAGAGUUCCCAGCCUGGCUCCUGGCUGCUGCAGGGCUCACCCUCCUCCAGAAGGCGAUGAAUCAAUUGGCCCACCCAGCCCACAAGACCCUCAGCAUCAGUUCUGUUCAGAAGUGGACGACCCAAAACACCGGAGGGGAAGCCAAAGGGCGCCAUAUUCCAGGACACGGAAUCCAGCUUCAGAGACAGAUGAGGAGAUAACCAGGUCUAGAGAAUGGAAGGGAUUCAUCCAAGGUCACAUAGGUAAUAGGAGCAGAGCCCAGAGAGUCUAAGCUAGUUCCUCUGACAUGAGAUGCAGUGAAGUGAUCUGUGCAGGAUGGAAUGAUUUGGCUCACAGUGUGUCAGAGCUGGGAAAGAGCUUAGAACAGAGAUUUCCUAUCUUGCUUCUUUUGUAUCAUAAUUGUCUUUAUAACUUUGUAACAUUUGCUUUUGAUUGUUUUGUGUGUGUAUGUGUGUGUGUGAUACACAGUUGUUCUUUCUGUUUACAUUGUAGUCAUUGUGUAUUUAUUUCUUUUGGUUCUGCUGAUUUCACUCUAUAUCAGUUCAUGUUGUUCUUUCCAUGCCUCUCUGUAUUAUACACAUGUCAUCAUUUCUUACAACAACACAAUCAUAUUCCAUUAUCUUCAUGAAUCACCAUUUGUUAUUUAAUCGUCCUCUAAUCAGUAGUCAUCUACUUUGUUUCUAAUUCUGUUAUCACUAAAAAAAAGUAUUGCUACAAAUAUUUUAGAACUUUCUUUUUAUCGAUGGUGUUCUUGUGAUAUUGAUGUAGGCAUAAAAUCUCUGGAUCAAUGUUUAUGAGCAUUUUAGUCACUUUAUUUGCAUAAUUCCAAAUUGUUUUCCCAAAUGAUUGUAUGCAUUCACAACUCCAUCGCCAAUGUAUCAGUAUUCCUAUCUUACCACAAACUCUCAAAUAUUGACUUGACCAUCUUGUCUUUUGUCAUUCUUGCCAACCUGCAGGAUGUGAGCUAAAGCCCAGGACUCUGAUUUUCAUUCUUCUUAUUAUUAGUGAUUUGGAGCAUUCUUUCAUGUAGUUGUUAAUACUUCGCAAUUCUUUUGAGAAUUUUUGUUCAUAUCCUCUAACCAUUUAUUUAUUGAAGGAGUUACUUUUAGUCACAUGUUUGUGUUCGUGUGUAUACAUAUACACACAUUUACAAAUACAGGCAUAUAUCUGUGUAUGUAUAUAUGUAUGCAUGUAAUUAUAGAUAUACAUAUCUCUUGGAUACAAGACUUAUCAGAGAUAUUUGAUAAAAAGAUUUUUUUCCUCAUUUGACCUCUUCCCUAUCCUAAUCCUAGGUGUUCUCAUUUUGUCUAUGCAGAAGUUUUUCAGAAUCAUGUAAUUAAAGUUAUCUAUUUUAUCCUUUGUAGUUACCUCUAUCCCUUAUUUAGUUAAGAAUGCAACUAGAUAUAUAGAGAUAGAGGGAUUUUAUUUGUUUCUCUUCUAAUUUUUUAUGGUAUGAUCUUUAACAUUAAGGUUGUAUAUCAAUUUAAAUUUUAUUAUGGAAUAAGGCAAAAAUGUAAAUCUAAUUUUUGCCCAACUGAUUUCCAGAUUUUCCAGCAGUUUUUAACCAAUGGAAAGUUCUUCCCUAAAUUGUUUGCAUUUUCCAGUUUAUCAAACAAUGAGUUACUAAG
rnacentral:lncRNA from 1 species